UCCACCAUUGUCUCCCUCCUCUCGGCCCAUGUCUCUUCCGUUCAAAUUGCUUAUCGAGCUUCAGAUCAUCAAUAUCGGAACUGGAGGAUGGGGCAAUUAGAUUUGGAGAAGGAGGUUGUUAAGGUGCAAGAAGAAAGAUGGCCGCAACGAUUAGGUCGAGACAGCGGGAUAGAGACAGGGCUUGGUCGGAGACAGUCGAGGUGACAGCGGCGAUCAGAGGCAAAA
rnacentral:lncRNA from 1 species